rnacentral:rRNA from 1 species
GCUCAAUUUGAAAUCUGGCACCUUCGGUGUCCGAGUUGUAAUUUGUAGAAGCAUCUUUUGGAUUGGUCCUUGCAUAUGUUCCUUGGAACAGGACAUCAUAGAGGGUGAGAAUCCCGUUCAUGGUGGGGAAUCCAAUUCUUUGUAAAGUGCUUUCGAAGAGUCGAGUUGUUUGGGAAUGCAGCUCUAAGUGGGUGGUAAAUUCCAUCUAAAGCUAAAUAUUGGCGAGAGACCGAUAGCGAACAAGUACAGUGAUGGAAAGAUGAAAAGAACUCCGAAAGGAGAGUGAAAAAGGACGUGAAAUUGUUGAAAGGGAAGUGCUUGAGAUCAGUCUUAAGGUUUAGUGAUCAGUCUUCCUUUUGGUUGGUGCACUCACUAUUUCUUAGGCCAACAUCAGUUUUCGCGGCAGGAUAAUGACAUUGGAAUGUGGCUCUUUCGGGAGUGUUAUAGCCUUUGUUGAUACUGCCUGCUUAGACUGAGGACCGCGCUUUUGCUAGGAUGU